rnacentral:misc_RNA from 1 species
GAUUAGUGAAUGACAUAUAUGGCAGUUCUAAUGUCAACAUUGGAAUGGAUUCUAAUGAAGCAUCAGUUAGAGAGGAACCUAAAGGGGAUGCUGCCAUGUUUUACCAUCUAUUAAGGGAAGCUAAAGAAAAGUUACAUCCAGAAUCUGAGCUCUCAAAAUUGGCUGCUAUAGUGAAGUUACUUCACAUGAAGAGUUUUCAUCGAUGGACCAACAAAUCAUAUGAUGAUUUGCUUGGUUUAUUAAGGGAGCUUAUUCCAAAUGGAAAGCAAAAUUUGCCAGAAUCAUACAGUAGUGCUCGAAAGUACAUUAGUGGUCUAGGCCUUCACCAUGAGAAGUACGAUGUUUGUCAGAAUCAUUAUACAUUAUAUUGGGGAUCAUUUGCCAAUGCAACAUCAUGUCAAAUAUGUGGAUUAUCUAGGUGGAAGUCUGAUGAAGGGAAAAGCAAGAGGAAAAAAACUCCAUAUAAAGUGCUACGAUACUUCCCUUUAAAACCAAGGUUACAGAAGUUGUUUAUGUCUAGUCAAGUAGCAUCCGAUAUGCGAUGGCAUAAGGAAAAAAGGAUAAAUGAUGGAAUUAUGAGGCACCCUAUUGAUAGUCUUCCAUGGAAGUCUUUUGAUGAACAA